UCAAUUAUUUUUAGCCUCUGGCUAUAGGAAAUUGUUAGUGGCAGACGGGUGAGUAAUGCGUAGGAAUCUACCUAGUAGUACGGAAUAGCCAUUAGAAAUGGUGGGUAAUACUGUAUAAUCCCCGAGGGGGAAAGAUUUAUCGCUAUUAGAUGAGCCUACGUUAGAUUAGCUAGUUGGUGAGGUAAUGGCUUACCAAGGCUAUGAUCUAUAGCUGGUCUGAGAGGACGAUCAGCCACACUGGAACUGAGAUACGGUCCAGACUCCUACGGGAGGCAGCAGUGGGGAAUAUUGGACAAUGGGCGAAAGCCUGAUCCAGCUAUGCCGCGUGAGUGAAGAAGGCCUCGGGU
rnacentral:rRNA from 1 species